rnacentral:lncRNA from 1 species
UUUUGUAAAUGUUAACAAUGUGAGUAGACAUGUGCAUGAAUAUUAGAACACCUUCUUUUGUCCACUGUUGCAGAGACUGCAGUGGUACACAGCCCCAUGAUGCUGAUUCAGUGGACAUGAACUGAGGUGUUGAAGUGACCUGCAAGUGAAGAAUGGGAGGACCCUCUACUUCCUAAAGAAGUGCUUCCUGAAAGAAAGUACUAAAAAUAUUAGAAAGUGUGUGAAUCAACCUUCUGAACCCAAAGAUGGUCUGGACAUGGAAAAAGAUGAAGUUGUGUUACUAAAAUACCUUCGAACAUUUCAAGAGGUGGUGCUGAGAGCUGCAAUGCCAGCUCAAUCAAAGCUCUGAUAUUUGCUGCUAUCUCCAUGCAUGUUUACAGCAGCUGACAUAUGAAAAGCCAGGGAAUAAUUUGAGUUUGCAAGCUAUGAAAUAAGUCCAUUUUGGAUCUGAAUCUGGCUGUCAAAUCACUUUGAUGGGUUAAUCUGACACAAAAUGAAAGGAUACAAAUGAAAGAAACUUUUGGCAAGCCUGAAAAAAACGGAUGCACAUCUGCAAGACAGAGAGAGCAGAAAGAAGCAAAACAGCAGAGAAGAUGCCCUGUACACCCUGAGAAUACUUGUCCAGCUUGCAUGGAAACGCAGGCAGAAGACUUCUGGAGGUUACUCUCUCAA